rnacentral:pre_miRNA from 10 species
AAUCUAACGGAAACAUUUCUGCACAAACUAAAGAAACUAAUAUGUGAGAAUACUUCUGCUAUAUU